CGAUUGACACGACUCUCGGCAAUGGAUAUCUCGGCUCUCGCAUCGAUGAAGAGCGCAGCGAAAUGCGAUACGUGGUGCGAAUUGCAGAAUCCCGCGAACCAUCGAGUCUUUGAACGCAAGUUGCGCCCGAGCCCAACCGGCUAAGGGCACGUCUGCCUGGGCGUCAAG
rnacentral:rRNA from 1 species